rnacentral:rRNA from 1 species
GACAGAGGCCCCAAGCGUUAGGCGGAAUCACUGGGCUUAAAGCGUGUGUAGGCGGAUCGUUAAGUGUCUUGUGAAAUCCCACGGCUCACCCGUGGAACUGCUGGGCAUACUGGCGAUCUUGGGCCAACUAGGGGCAGCCGGAACAAGCGGUGGAGCGGUGAAAUGCGUAGAUAUCGCUUGGAACGCCGAAGGUGAAGACAGGCUGCUGGGGUUGUGCCGACGCUGAGACACGAAAGCCAGGGGAGCAAACGGG